CGCGAGGCCGCGCCGUGCAUUCCGCGCAUUCCCGCCCGGCCUGGGUUCCGCCGCCACGUGGUGGCCCUGCGCUCCGCGCUUACCGUAAAGCCUGGAGACGGUGCGCACCUCGGCUUCCCAGCAUGAGAGGAGGACCGCCCCGGUACCCACCUGGCUGCGCCGUCCCGCCCCAGUGCAGAACCCGCGCAGGCUCGGGCGUGCAGUAGGUUUAGGUAACUAGAAGAGCUGAACUGCCGUGAAGUCCAGCAGGAAGGAGGGUGGCCAGCGCCCCUACCCCCCGCCCCCGGUGUGUGCAAUGGUGGGGGGCUGCCCAGCUCUGAAACCCCACAGAACCGGACAGGGAACCGUCAUGCCUUGUCAGCAGCCUUAGAGGCUGGAAAGGAGUCGCAGCCUUCCCGUUGGUCUUCUUCCUUUUCCCCGAUUAUUCACAAUCAGUGGUUCAGUCCAAGGGGAAGGGGGUCUGGAAGGUGCUUAGCAAACAGUCCAUAACAUGGUUACAACUGAUUUUUAAAAAAUAGAUUCUGAAGGGUCUCUUUUUUGAGGUCAGUUUAGUCAAGAUUCAGCGCCCUCAGGAGUCCUGAGCUGUCACCUGGAACAGGAUUGUUGUCUGCCUGGGGGAACUCUGGGGUAAUGGGGCCACCAGGGUCCUCCCUGGGUUGUGACACCCCCUGCAAGCUUGGAUGGGUCUGGAGGAAUUUUGAGAACCCUCCUGGGCCCUCUCUCCAAAUCCAUGCUUGAACAGAGGGCUCCCUCACACUCACACGAGGCAGGACGGGCCUCCGUCCCUGAGGGCCCCCAGUGUCCCCAGUCUAAGGGAAGCACAGCAGGCCCAUCUCUUGGGGACGUUCCACCCAGCUCCAUGUCCUCUCCCAGGGGGUUGACCAAUGGUCCACUGUUUUUAUGCAGUUGACGAUGAAACUGAGGCACAGAGGGGCUAGGCACCCUGUCCAGGUUGGCGAUGACAGUGGCCGGUCAGAGCCCACAGUCCUGGGCAGGAAGCCGCAGCCCUCCACGUCAUGGCUCCUCCGAGACGCUGGGGGGGCUGACUUAGGCUUGCAAGACUCCCUGCCGAGCCAAGCCUUCUUCUGCAGGAUGUCAGGAAGUUGGCGACCAUAUGUAGGAAACAGAACCAGAGGGUCCCCCAGGCCUCCACCUGCCAGGGCCCGAGAGGCAAAUGUCCAUCCCACCUCGAAGUGGGAUGUGGGCCUUCCCUGGCGAGCCCACAGGGAGGGGGAUCAAGGUACCACGCGGGAAGCCGGGCAGAGCCACUGGCCGGGCCUCAUUCUCGCCUGUGUUCUCAUGCAGAGCCAAGGCCCGGUGCUGUGUGGAAUUAAUUAAAUGUUUCAAUUCAUAUUCAGACAGGGCAUUUUUCAGAUGACUCUGUGCUGAAUCAGCUGGCUUCUCUGAGCCUCCAGCCGUUCACGCCCGCCCGCGGUGGGACUUAAACUGCAGAGAAACUGAGGUUGAAGUAAGCCCCCCAGUCACCCGCCCUCGGGCUUCCUCCUCCACUCUCCCUCUCCUUGCCCUGCAAAAGGGGGACAGGAUUUGAUCUUAAAAAGACAGACAGACGGCGGCACCGAUGAGGGCCCAGAAGUCAGCGCAGGGGUGAGGGGAGAGGUCUGAGGGAGCCUUCUGCUGGGCCACUGGUGGGAUCUCUGCCCAGGACGGUCACCCCAUUUCCCAGCCAUUCUGCUCGCGCAAAGGGGGACAGUCACCGGUGAAGUGGGCCAGAGGUGGGGUCAGCAAGACGGGAGGGGACGGGGGAGGCAAAGAGCCGCCUGGCCAAGCCAGGGCUGGGACCCCUCCCUCCAGGCGCCUCGCCCUGUGUGUCCCUGCAGCAAGGCGGGGAGUCGCCGUCGGACCCCCGGGAGUGAGGCCGCUGGACCCACCAGCCUGGGGGGGGCCCCUGUCCCCCGACUCCCUGCUCCACCUUUGUUGCCCCUUUGGACUCCGGCCACCUGCUAGCCCACAGACAGAGCUGGAUGGCCGUCCGGGAGGCCUUGAGGCAGGACGGCCUGCCGUCUGUCCGUCAGCUCCCGGGGACAGGGCCCUGUCUGGGCUCUCAGGAGCCCCUCAGCAGAGCGUGAUGUCAUUGCGUCCCAGCCUGCAGGCAGCGGGGGUGGGGUGGGGGGAGGACCCCCUGGAGAUGUGACUGAGGCCUGUCAGGAGGAGACCUGGGUCCGGGCCCUGUCCUGUGGGCAUGUCCAGCGGGUGUCAGGACACAGAGCGGAGCGCCCCAAGGAGACUGGGACCUGAAGUGCGUCCCUGUGGUGUCUCCCUUCGCACGUGGCCUGAGGGGGACUCGCCCACACCAAGGAGGAGCUGGUGGGGGGAGCCCAGGUUGUCCUUCUUGGUCACAGGACAGGGGGGAGUGUCCUGUGUCUGCUGUAGCCAUGCCCCAGGCGGGGGCUGAGGAUGGCAGAUUCCAAACAGGCUCACCUGGGCCCCUCCCUCCGGGGUCCAGGAAGGCAGGUCCAGCCUCUGCUGGCCCCUCUGCUGGCGUCCCUUCCUGUGGCGGCCUCAUCCAGUCUCUGCCUCCAUGGUCGCUGUGGCUCCUCUUCAGUCUCUCAGAGGGACAUGAGGUCACCCUCGUGGGCUCUGGGGGCCGCCCCUCAACCUCACAGCUGGAGAAAGGGACGCGCUUCGUCACAGCCAGGAACGGGCCACCAGAUCCUGUCCGUGCCGAGGCCUUGCUCCGUGCCCCCCCCACUUAGGGCUCCGCGGCAGGGGACAGGGUCCCGGAUACACUGAGGUCUGCCUGUCCUCCAGGGGCUUCUGUUGGGGCCUGAGAGACGCGACUGGCAAGGCUUCUGCAGAGGAAAGCUCGGGACAAGGUGGCCAGCACCUGCCGCAGGUGACCUGUGUCGGUCCGUUCUGCUGCCUCCCAGGGGCAGGUGGGCAGAAGUGAGGGGUGGCACGGCUGCUACCACUUGUGGGCCUCUGCUUCUCUGUCCUCAGCCUCUCACCUGUGCAAUGGGGUGAUGACGGCGUUGGCCUCCCACGUCCCUCCGAGUCGGAGGCAGUGGGCAGGUGGUGUGCCCGGUGCCUGUGAACCCCGCUCUCUGGGACUUGUGCUUCCUCCCAGUCCCGCACUCUGAACCUGCGCAGGUGGAAUGGAGGCCCAGUGGGGAGUCCUGCCAACUGUCUCCUCAGUGGGAUCAAUCAGAGGCCAGCAGACCAGCGGCCGCCUGCGGUCAGCGUGAAAUCCUGCCUCGCCAGUUCAGCGCGCUGCUGGCCCGAUGUCCCUGCGUCUUCCCAGAGGAGGAAAUUAAGGCCCAAGGUCACUGAGAUGCAGAGGAGCAGGAGAGCGUCCAGCUCUGGCUGCACACACAGAGGAGGGAGAGUGAGUCGCCAGGCACCUUCCGGAAAGCCCCCAAGAUGCAGUUCACCGAACACACAGUUGGCCUGCACAGUGUGCAGUCCAGUGGCUUUUCGCACGUGACAGUGACAACGUUCCACCGCCGCCGCCGUCUCAUUUAAGAACACUGUCUUCUUCCCAGGUACUCGCCUGGUCCUUACAGCCCCUGGCCACCGCUGAUCUGCUUCUGGCCCUGUGUCCUGGACACUUGGUAUAAACGGAGUCAGAAAGCGUAUGGUCUCUUGCCUGAUUUCUUUCCUUUAGUAAAAGGUUUUCAAGAUUCA